CAAGGAAUAUUGCGCAAUGGGCGAAAGCCUGACGCAGCAACGCCGCGUGGGUGAUGAAGGCCUUCGGGUCGUAAAGCCCUUUUCUCGGGGAAGAAGCUCUGACGGUACCCGAGGAAUAAGCCUCGGCUAAUUACGUGCCAGCAGCCGCGGUGACACGUGAGAGGCAAGCGUUAUCCGGAUUUAUUGGGCGUAAAGGGCGUGUAGGCGGCUCGAUAAGUCUUUUGUGAAAUCUCCUGGCUCAACCGGGAGGGGUCAAAGGAAACUAUCGGGCUUGAGGGCAGCAGAGGGAGGUGGAAUUCCCGGAGGAGCGGUGAAAUGCGUAGAUAUCGGGAGGAACACCAGUGGCGAAGGCGACCUCCUGGGCUGUUCCUGACGCUGAGGCGCGAAAGCGUGGGGAGCAAACAGG
rnacentral:rRNA from 1 species